GCAUUGGUGGUUCAGUGGUAGAAUUCUUGCCUUCCAUGUGGGAGACCUGGGUUUGAUUUCUGGUCAGUACA
rnacentral:tRNA from 1 species